rnacentral:rRNA from 1 species
CCCUUAGACGUUCUGGGCCGCACGCGCGCUACACUGACGGAGCCAGCGAGUAUAAACCUUGGCCGAGAGGUCUGGGAAAUCUUGUGAAACUCCGUCGUGCUGGGGAUAGAGCAUUGUAAUUAUUGCUCUUCAACGAGGAAUUCCUAGUAAGCGCAAGUCAUCAGCUUGCGUUGAUUACGUCCCUGCCCUUUGUACACACCGCCCGUCGUUCCUACUGAUUGGGUGAUCCGGUGAGCUGUUCGGCCAUAGCAAUGUUUCUUGAGCAGGGCAAUGAAUGUUUCGCAAACCUUGGCACUUAGAGGAAGGAGAAGUCGUAACA